UCUCGAAAGUACUGAUACCUCACAGUAGUUGCUCACGCCGACGGCAUAAACUACUAUUCAGUCAUCCACGCAGUGCUGAAGUACCCCGCAGCUGCCUCGCCUGCAUGCGCUCUUGAAAAAGCAAGUUUAUAGAGGAAAUGACAAAUAAUUCUUGCACAAGUGUCUGGUGCAGAGCGAAAUCUUCACGCUACGGUUCGCAAAAACCUGACCGGCACUUCCACGGUCGCUUGCUCUUCUUCGUCGCUUGAUGCGGAAGGCUUGUAACCGUAAGCGGUAAUAUUCCUUGCCAAGUUGGAAUGGUCCUCUUCUUCAGACGUGUACUUGCGAUGGCGGCGUUGGCGUGCUGCAAACGAUUGCGGCCGGCCGGCUGGCUAUCCAACGAGCGUGACGUGACGCCUUCCAACUCCCGCAGGUCGGGCGGUGAGGCGCGCGCUCACAAAAACGUCAAAAAUAAAACCAUCGGCUCAAAAAUGAGCUAAGUGACUACUUCUUUUCGGUGAAAUCACACACUGGGGAUUCAUUUUCAGCAUAUUCCUAAAAUUUUCAGAUUUUGUGUCCGUAUCCCUUUAAGCACUCGUUGAGUGUGUGACCAUGCGCAUUGUAAUUCUGUGGUGUGUUAUAAUGCAACACACUGCUGCUCUCCAUUCCAUUGCGGGCUGAAGGACUGCCUGAACGGUCGAGUGCAUGCGAAAUAUUAAAGAAAGCAGUACUGUCUCUCUACUGUUGUUGCAAAAUUUUUAUUUUUGUGGCCAUUUUUUUCGGUCAUGUCUUCUGUUUAGCAAACUUUUUUUGUAUGGUACCAAAGUCAAGCUGUGAGUGAAAAAGUGUUUUAUUAAUUUUCCCUUAGAUCCUCUUUAGAGACAUGCAGUCGUGCUCAGUUUUUUCUGAAUGGUGGGGUACAUUGACUUGUUUCAGUCCUGUGCUCGUGUGUGCUGCUAGCUGAUGAGUCUGUAAUGAAUUUGGCUGCAAGGCAGUUUUUCAUUUAGUGUAAGGAUUUUCUUGCACACUUCAUUCAUCACGCUUUCUUUUGAGCAGAAUUAUAUAAAGUAGACCGCUAUUAAAAAAUAUCUACGGGGUUCUCCUUUUUUCACCUCUCGCAAAGCCAGACACUGUGUGCAGUGUUGCCUGCAAAAAUAAUAGCACCUGUAUACCAGCUGUCCCAACUUCUAAAUGUGACCAAGAAUUAAAAAAAAUAACAGCCUUAUGCAGAUGACUGCAUGUUCAUGUUUUUAUUUUUUAAAUUGUAUCAGGUUUUAUCACCUCACUUUUAAUUAAUUUCCCUAAUGCAUAGCACAUCAAUGGAAAAGUAGUUGAGGAUGUCCUGAAAUUACGGAUAACAGCGUUCAAAGGAGCCCUAGGUCUUGUGUUGUUUUUUUUUCUACAACAAAGAAAGCCUGCGAUACUUUUAAAAUACCACGUGACAAUGUGUCUGCAUGCCAGGGGCUGCAGCGCUUGCAAACGUAAACCUCGUCAAACACGGUUCCAGCUUAUCGCACUGGGAACAAGCAGCUGCUCUCUUUCCCUGGUGCGUCAGCAGCUUUUGGUGUAAAUCUUUUGGAUCAUCUAGGUCGAUCUUGAGGACGGGUAGGUGGUGUCCUCAUUCCAGGACUCCACUGGCCAUGGCUGCUCGACGUACUUGCUGGACGAGAGCUUCUUGUCCCGCCAGGGUAUUGCCAGUCAGCUGUACCUCCCACCGCUCAAAUGAUGUGCUAGGCGUAAGUGUUGAGGUUUGCCCCCGCACCCCCACGAGAUGUGAAAGAGUGUAGGGCGGGUGUCGCCGCACUAGGGGCAGAUGCCGCGAUAUUUUUGUGGGUAUAUUUUGCUGUAUUUGUGUGGGUUUGGGAAUGUGUUUUUUUGGAUAAGCCCGAGAGCUACUGCCUCUUCAGUGCUGAGCAUUUUGUGAGGGGGAGGAUAAAUCCUGCGGUUGAGUAGCUGGAUCUUGAGUCGGUUGUUGUAAUUGAAUGGCAGGGGCACGAAGGUAAAGGGUGGGGUUUGAUGAGACGAUUGGUUUUGCCUUGCUCGGUUGAUUAGCGCUCGAGCUAAGUCGUUCGCCCUUUCGUUCCCCCCCAGUCCCAUGAUGACUCGGCGUCCACGUGAUUUGAUGGGAUUCAGGUGGUCCAAAUUUUCGGAGUCCCCCACUACGGCGUGCCUCACAAUCAGAUCGUGGUUUUGGCACGUAAAACGCCAUAAUUUUAUUUGAUGGGAUUCUUGCAGCCUCGGGCCUAGAAUCUUAGCCGCCAGCAGUGGUGUUUGUCCGUUCGUAAAGUUAUGGCAGGCCUCUUGCGAGUCGGUAAUAACAUGAACUUCCCUGCCCACCCUGUCAUGUUGUUUUAUUACUAGCGCUGCAGCUGGGGUCUCUGCCCUAACGGAGGCCGCAAGGGUCAAGGAGUUGUCUCUCCCGUUCAUGGUGGCUACCGCGAAGAGGCCCCCUGAAGCGUACGCCGCCACGUCCACGUACAUUACGUACGGGUCACCCUUGAAUUGUCGGCGCUGUCUGGCGAUGCGAGCCUUGCGUCCUCCUUCGUGGAGUUUGACUCAUGUGCUUCGGGAUGGGGCUCGCCGUGAUCUUGCUUUUGACCUCGGGCGGGAGUGAUUGUUGCCCAUCGAGGGCACGAAGCUCUGUUGCUGUUCCGGUGUUGUAGAUCCCGAGAGCCGCUAACUUCUCGGUUGAGGUGGUGACAGGGAGACCCAGGGCCGUUUUGUACGCGCCUCUGAUGAUGGCAUAGACUUGUUCUUGGUCGCAUUUGUUUAGCGAGUGGUAAUGAUGCGGCAUGCUAUACGUUACUCUGCUGAUCACCAGAGCCUGGACGAGGUGGAGCGUGUCCUCUUCUCGCAUUCCCUUGCGGCUUCUUGUUAUUCGUUUGAUAAUCCGCGAGAUCUGGUUGGUGGUGGACCUUAGGGUUUGGAUGGUGUGGGUGGCUUUCAAGUUGUUCUGGAUCCAAAAACCCAGUAUCCUAGUCUUUUUGCUUUCCGUGAUCUUGUGGUCCUCUAGAUAGAGUUCGAUAGGGCCGGGGGACUUGUAGAUUCCUCCUCCGUGCACCCGGAUCACCUCGGACUUCUCGGGCGCGUAAUGCAUCCCGCUCACUGCCGCAAAUCUCUCCACGGCCGUCACGGUCUCCUGAAGGGUCGCCUCUUUUCGCGCGAGAGAGCCCUUGGUGGCCCAGAGCGUGAUGUCGUCUGCUUAUAGGGCGUAACCUAGGUCCGGGAUCUUCCGCAGCUCUUUGGUCAGCGCUAGCAUCGCGACAUUGAAGAAAAUUGGGGAGACUAUCGCCCCUUGCGGUGUUCCUUUGUUCGGUACAUCGAUCUUAUCCGAUAGAGUCUGGCCUAUUCCGAUGGUUUCCGUCCGGCCUGUCAAGACCGAUUUAACGUAAUUAAAGAUGCGCUCCCCGCAGCUGAUGUCGUUCAGUCCCUUCAGAAUGGCCUCGUGAGAGAUGUUAUCGAAGGCCCCUUCCAGGUCGAGUGCGAGCAGGAGGUGUUCUCCUCCCUUUGGGAUGCCCUUAAAAACUUCCUCCCUUAGGAUUAGGAAAGCAUCUUGCACAGAAAGUCCCGGCCUGAAGCCAAGCAUGGUGUGCGGGAAGAGGUCACCGUCCUCUAUGUAGUGUUAGAGGCGGGCUCCGAUGACCCUCUCGUACAGCUUGCCGAGGCAUGAAAUCAGCGAGAUGGGACGCAGGGUGUCGAUCGCGGGCUUCUUGCCGGGUAUGGGAAUCGUCACGAUUUCCACGUGUUUCCACUCGUUCAGUACAUGGCCCUUGCUCCAGAGUUCCUCGUUUAGGUAUUCGGUCAAGUCCAGGAUGUGCAUCGGACUCGGGUUUCUAAUCAUGGCAUUCGUGAUUUUGUCAGCCCCGGGAGCAGUGUUGCGCUGUGAGGCUCGUGCCACGGUAUACACCUCUUCCUCCGUGAUCGGAGCGUCCAGUUCUGGUCUUAGUUCCCCUUCGUAUUUUAGGAGGCAGGGUCGUAUGGGGUCACUACCCAGGUAUCUAGUUUUUAGGGUGUCAAUCAGAUCCUGGUCAUUCCCGAGGAAUUUGUGAGCGAUUUCUUAAAGCGUCCGACUGGUUGUCGAUUUGGCCUUGCCGGGCUCGAUCAGGCAACACAGGAUGGCCCACGUCUUCGCCGUAUUCGGGGUACCCUUGAGCGAGGUGCAAAACUGUACCCAAUUUUGCUGCGUCAGCUUGGUCGCGUAAUCUCUGGCUUCUUCUGUUACAUGCGCAAUUCGUAAACGGAGUUUCUGGUUUAACCACUGUCGCUUCCACCAUUUGAGGAGGCCCUCACGGGCUUCCCACAGGUGUAAGAGCCGGCGGUCGACUUCGGGCGUCUCGACCGUGCGCUAGAUGGUUUUGGUGGUUUGGAUGUGGGCGUCUCGGAGGUGCUUCAUCCAUUCCGCUAUGUCCGUUAUACCGCUUUCGGGUGGGGGGUACUGCCUGUACGCCUCCCAGUCCGUGAGCCUAAUUUCUCCAAUUGUUCUCUUGAGUUUCGGGGUGGACACCGAGAUGCUGAGGAUGUAGUGAUCGCUGCCCAGUGUUUCGCCCAGGUGCGUCCAUGAGCAUUCCCUUACGUUUUUGACAAGUGACAGGUCCGGAAACGUGUCUCGACUAACACUGUUGCCUACUCGGGUUGGUUAGAGGAGGUUGAUUAUCAAUUCAAGGCCCGUUUGGUCAACCGCAUCGAUGAGCAACCUCCCCUUCUGCGUGUCUUGUUGGUAGCCCCAAGCCGCGUGUCUAGCGUUCAUAUCUCCCACCACUACCAGCUGGUUGCAGCCAGCGGCUCUCACUGUCGUAGAUGAUGUUGCUGAAGUCGUCCUUUUGAGCCCUCAGCGUACUGUACAAAUUCAGGAUGAAAGUGCUCCCCUCUUCUGCGGGAGUACUUCCGCUGGCACGUGAUUAAUGUCAUGAUGUUGAUAAUGUUCUCCCACGGCCGUCACAUUUUGUGAAUUAAAACCUUUGGUGAUUCCACGUGUUUAAUUACGUAGUAACCACGUAGCUUGAUGGGCUGGUUCCCGACCUCUUGAAGGCAGAUGUGCGCAAGAUUUUCAGCAUACUAGCUGGUGAGGUUUACAUUUACGAGUCUUCGCUAGUUGUCGCAUGGUAUUUAUAAACUUAAGCUGGCUUUCUUUUUUUCGUCGGAUAAAGAGGACUGCACAAGACCUAGGUUGCUAUUCGUGCGGUUGUCGCUCAUUCGUUGACAUGCUCCACAACGUUUGCAUUGAUGCCUUAUCAAUUAGGUGAUUGAAUUGAAAGUUUGCUCAGUAAACCUAGUAAUUUUAGCUAAUUGAAAUUAACGCUUGACUAGCCUAAACGACGCUCAUCAACUUGGUGAUUGCCAUUUGUGUGAUGCCCUCUGUUGUUUUUUCAUUCUUGGCGACAUUUAUUUGGAACAAGCGUUAUGUCUCGGAGUGACAAUGUUGCUUUGUCUCAUGUCCUUGGCCACGCAGUCCCUUUUUGAUUGAUUGACGGGGUUCAAUAUUCCAAAGGAUCACAGGGGGCUAUAAGAGAUGCCGUAGCAGCAAAUUAAUUUUGACCACCUGGGGUUCUUCAGCAAGUACCCAGAGUUUGGUACUUAAGAAUUUUUGCAUUCAGAGUGGGACAGCCUCGACAAACAGUUAAAGCUGCUACUUCAUGCUCAGUGGCACAACAUAGGCACUGCAGCAUGUACCGAUUGCUUUUAUUCUGCCCUCAGUUUAAAGGGACACUAAAGGCAAAUACUAAGUCGACGUGGACUGUUUAAAUACCUUUCCAGAAACCUCAAAACACUUGGUCUCGUGCAAAGAAAAGACACGAAAAAAUUGGAUCUCAAGGGUCCAAAUACCUUUAUUGCAAUUCAAAUCACCCGCCACGCCAACCGAGGAGUGGUGACGUUGCAUACGCCAUUUUCUGCCGUUGGUGAGUGUAACGGCGCCCGACAGAUGGCGGUACGGCGCGCCGCUGCAACUGAUUUUCGUAAAGUGGCGUAGACCGUUCGGGCAUUCCGCGACGUCGCAUGGAAGUGAAAUUCUCUGCUACUUGCAGUUAGUGCGAGGUUCGCGAGCCAGAAAAACAAGCGCAACACUUCACGAUAACAGAAAAACUGAAACGCGAAAGUGCGGGCGGCGCAGAGUCGAGCGAACGCGAAACCUUUUGACAGCCCACGUUGUUGUCAACGGUGUAAUGUCAGUUAGUUCUUUUUUGUAAAAGUGUAAUAGAACUGGUGAAGUAGUAUUUUCUUUCUUCUUAUAAUACAGUAUAAUGAUGUUUCAUAACGAGUGGUUCACUACUAGUGACAGAAUUUAAAUGAGGAGUGCCUCCGUCAUCGGGCGAGUACUUGAAUGUCCCGGGGGAGUCGCUAAUCAUGUCCUGCAUUUACCUUAAUUUCUCUAUUACUAAGGCUCUGCUCGUGAUAAUAUUGACGCUUUAGAGAUACUCGUGCACUAAUGCAUCACUUUAGCUUGACUUAGUAUUUGGCUUUAGUGUCCCUUUAACCUUUGCUUCCACAGCAUGGCACAUCUGCAAGAUAUGCACCGAUGGAAACAUUAACCAGUGGACGGUUGUCACGUGCAAAGCUUACAUUGUGCCAUUGCAGUAAAUUCAUGAUGCACAGACAGAACAGAAUUUUGUAAAUAUUGAGCUGCUAGCAUCGCUGUAGGCUCUACGUCUUAAACAGAAAAAAAGUUACUCGCAUGGCAUGUGCAUCUACAGUAUACCUGUUGAGCUGAGUAGUUUUUUUUUUCAGAGGGCUAUGGGCCCUGACCUGAUGCAUGUGAGCAUACAGCAUGAAGCAUUGCAAGCUCGCACUAAGCAGGAUGUUUAAAAAAAUGUUUGAAAUUCCUUAUUGAAAUUCCUGUUUGAAAUUCCACGCUGCGGGGCGGUAACGGUCCAUACGGAGGAGGCUGCUUGGGGGGCAGCGGGGGUGAUGCCGGAGGCUCCGGGUUGCGGUACUUGGGUCAUGGUAGUGGACAGGCGGAGCAAACGGCGACCCGAACGAAGCUCCAGUGGAACUCGACGGCGUAGAGGUCUAGGGGAUCGAAAGCAAUCUCCACCACUUUGUAAGGCAGCAGCACAGUUGUAUCGUCGCCUUUAUUCGGCUGAGCCACGCGCUGAACGAAGACGACGCGCACAGUGAUGAUGAUUAUGUACAGGUGAAGAAGAUGAAGGAUUAAUAUUUUGCUCACAAUAUAUAUAAUAUAGGGAAGACAAGUGAUUUCUUAAGGAUUGCUUUUACCACACCAAGGCAACAUUGAGGGGAAUGCCGAGGACAAUGCCAUUGUGAUUUUUCCGAUGAAUUUUAUUGGGAAGUCUGGGAGAAGUGUCUCCUUAGCUCCCCUCCUAAUAUAGAAUUUUAUUCUCACCUACGCUCUCAGACUUUUUAUCUAGCUGGGUUUGUCAUGGUGCAAACACAACGUGCAUCUUACCAUAGUUACCCUCAGCCUUCUAAGGACUACCUGCGUACUUUGCGGCAGAGUUGCAAAAUCAGUCUAGUUCUGCAGAGUAAUGAAUUCUGGCCAAUUUCACACCACAGUAUCGAAACUGAAAUGCCAGAGUGUGCAACUGUUGUGCCCCUAGUAGAUGCUCGCUAGUGACAUUUCUGCCUCCCAGUCUCCUUUAUAAAGCUGCAAUAUCCCUUGCUUAAUGCCUUGUCUGACGGCGAGACCAAAAUGGUCACGUCACUUGUGUGCACUUUUCAGCGUUUUGGUUUCGAUUUUCUGGGUUAAACUGGCAAGAACCUGCUACUGCAUCUCUCUCUAGUCCUGUGCAAGUCUGCAAGUGAUUAUGGUCUCUUUGAACAACAGGUUUCAAGUCUCAAAUUUUAACCUAUUGUCUCUUUCCAUUAAAGUUGGUCUAAGUUUAGUAAUUUUGUAAUUACUGGCUCGAGUCAUUUUAAGAUGCACACCGCUGUAUUAAACUGAUGAAAUCCGGUAA